CGGCGAGUGAAGCGGGAAGAGCUCAAAUUUGAAAGCUGGCGUCUUCGGCGUCCGCGUUGUAAUCUCGAGAAGUGUUUUCCGUGCUGGACCAUGUACAAGUUCCUUGGAAUAGGACGUCAUAGAGGGUGAAAAUCCCGUACUUGACAUGGACGCCCAGUGCUUUGUGAUACACUCUCCACGAGUCGAGUUGUUUGGGAAUGCAGCUCAAAAUGGGUGGUAAAUUCCAUCUAAAGCUAAAUAUUGGGGAGAGACCGAUAGCGAACAAGUACCGUGAGGGAAAGAUGAAAAGCACUUUGGAAAGAGAGUUAAACAGUACGUGAAAUUGUCGAAAGGGAAGCGCUUGAAGUUAGACAUGCCUAUUGGGAUUCAGCCUUGCUUUUGCUUGGUGCAUUUCCCGGUGAGCAGGCCAGCAUCAGUUUUGCCUGUCGGAUAAGGGUAGGAGGAAUGUGGCCCCUCGGGGUGUUAUAGCCUCUUACUGGAUACGGCGGGCGGGACUGAGGAUCGCAGUGCGCCUUUAUGGCGGGCCUUUUGGCACCUUCGCACUUAGGAUGCUGGCGUAAUGGCUUUAAGCGACCCGUCUUGAAACACGGAC
rnacentral:rRNA from 1 species